GACGAACGCUGGCGGCGUGCUUAACACAUGCAAGUCGUACGGUAAGGCCCUUUCUGGGGUACACGAGUGGCGAACGGGUGAGUAACACGUGAGUAACCUGCCCACAACUUUGGGAUAACGCUAGGAAACUGGUGCUAAUACUGGAUAUGUGCUCCUGCUGCAUGGUGGGGGUUGGAAAGCUCCGGCGGUUGUGGAUGGACUCGCGGCCUAUCAGCUUGUUGGUGGGGUAGUGGCCUACCAAGGCGGCGACGGGUAGCCGGCCUGAGAGGGUGACCGGCCACAGUGGGACUGAGAUACGGCCCAGACUCCUACGGGAGGCAGCAGUGGGGAAUAUUGCACAAUGGGCGCAAGCCUGAUGCAGCAACGCCGCGUGCGGGAUGACGGCCUUCGGGUUGUAAACCGCUUUCAGCAGGGACGAAGCUUUUUGUGACGGUACCUGCAGAAGAAGCACCGGCUAACUACGUG
rnacentral:rRNA from 1 species